rnacentral:lncRNA from 12 species
GCCAGAGUGCACAGGCAACACCUGGCAAAAGGAUUCUUCCCCGCUCAGGGUCAAGGCUCCAAGCACGGAAGGGAGAGGGCUGCACUUCACUGCCCAGCUCGCUCAGGGUCAAGGCUCCAAGCACGGCUGGGAAGGGAGAGGGCUGCACUUCACUGCCCAGCUUCUCCUGUGCACUGCUCCCAAAGUCUCCACCUCAGUGAAGAGCCUGACAGGCAGAGAUGUGAAAGCAGAGGGAAGGAGAACAGGAGGAAUCUUCUGGCUCAGUAGCAGCAAGCAGAGCUCUGCUACAAAGCCGUAAGGACCAAUAUCACAAGCCUUUGACUUUCCAUUGCUCCAAGGAAGACAGAGAAAUCUGUGAGAUGUGUAUUAGUAUCCACCUCAGAGCUGCCUAACACAUUUUUGUAAUUCCUUUACACCACCAUCAAAUUAAA